GACGAACGCUGGCGGCGUGCUUAACACAUGCAAGUCGAACGGAAAGGCCUCUUUCGGGGGGUACUCUCGUGGGGCACGGGUGAGUAACACGUGAGUAACCUGCCCUUUAGUUUUGGGUAACUUCAGGAAACAGUGGCGAAUACACGGGAUGGGCGCCUGCUCUACGGGGGGGGGUGGGGAGUUUCGGGGGUGGGGGAGGUGCUCGCGGCGUAUCUGCUUGUUUGUGGGGGAGUGGGUUACCAAGGGUUUGACGGGUAUCCGGCCUGUGAGGGUGAGCGGCGCCAUUGGGGCUGAGAGACGGGCCCGAGUCCUAUGGGGGGCAGAGGUGGGGAAAAUUGCGCAAUGGGUGGGAGACUGAUGCAGAGAAGCCGUGUGCGGGAUGACGGGCUUCGGGUGGUGAACCGCUUUUGCUCAUGACGAAGCGUUGUGUGACGGUAGUGGGUUAAGAAGCACCGGCUAACUACGUG
rnacentral:rRNA from 1 species